UAUAGGACGAUAUCAAAGAUGGAAUUUUCUUUUCGGAGACCUUUACACAGGUGCUGCAUGGCUGUGGUCUGCUCGUGUCGUGAGAUGUAGGGUUAAGUCAUGCAACGAGCGCAACCCCUGCCUCUAGUUGCCAUCAAGUAUAGGUUGUUACCUAGAUGUUGGCUACUUGAUAGGGACUGCCGGUGAUAAGCAGGAGGAAGGUGGGGAUGACGUCAAGUCAUCAUGCCCCUCAUGGGCUGGGCUGCACACAUGCUACAAUGGUGGUUACAAUGGGUUGUGAAAUCGCGAGGGGGAGAUAAUCUCCAAAAGCCAUAUCACUUCGGAGUGCACUCUGCAACUCGAGAGCACGAAGUUGGAAUCGCUAGUAAUCGCGGAUCAGCACGCCGCGGUGAAUACGUUCUCGGGCCUUGUACACACCCCCCGUCACCCCAUGGGAGUUGGUUUUGCCUGAAGACGGUGUGCUAACCGCAAGGAGGCAGCCGGCCCCGGUAGGGUCAGCGGCUGGGGUGAAGUUGUAACAAGGUAACCAAUAGAAUUCCCGCGG
rnacentral:rRNA from 1 species